rnacentral:rRNA from 1 species
UUGGCAGAAACACGGCCAUACUCACCUAUGGCCCGCCAGAUAAUUACGAGUAAAAACUUAAAAUUCAAAGGACUUGACGGUGUCCCACACACAACCUAGAGGAGCCUGUCCUGUAAUCGAUACUCCACGAUAGACCCGACCACUUUUUGCCAAACAAUCUAUAUACCGCCGUCGAAAGUUUACCUUUUGAGAGAAGGGAAGUAAACACAAGAGGCCUCCCCACUAAUAUGACAGGUCAAGGUGUAGUAAAUAAAGUGGCUAGAGAUGGGCUACACUUCCUUAAUAAGGAGAAACGAACGGCUUAAUGAAACCACGCCAGAAGGCGGAUUUAGUAGUAAAAUGGGAUUAGAAAGCUCAUUUGAACACACUGCUCUGGGACG